rnacentral:misc_RNA from 1 species
CUGAGUUUUAUGCCCUUACGGGUAGAUCUCCCACCCUUGAAUAUCUAAACCUUUGUUGCUUUGGCGGGCCGCUUCGGCUACCGGCUCCGGCUGGUGAGUGCCCGCCAGAGAACCUUAAACUCUGAAUUACAGUGUCGUCUGAGUACUAUAAAAUAGUUA